CUUGCCAAGCCGUUACAGCAUUUUAUAUUUAAGAAAUCCUGUACAGGUUUUGCAAUAA
rnacentral:pre_miRNA from 1 species